AACAAAAACAUGUCCUUUAGAUUAGAAUUUAAGGUCUAACCUGCCCACUGAGGAAUUAAAUGGCCGCAGUAUUUUGACUGUGCAAAGGUAGCAUAAUCAUUAGUUUUUUAAUUGAAAGCUAGAAUGAAUGGUUGGACGAGAUAUAAUCUGUCUUUAAAUUAUAAUUAGAAUUUAAUUUUUAAGUUAAAAAGCUUAAAUGAUUUUAAAAGACGAGAAGACCCUAUAGAUCUUUAUAUAUUUAUUUAUAUAGUUUUUAUGGAUAAAUAAUUUUUAUAUAGGUUUUUAUAUUUUAUUGGGGUAAUAGAAAGAUUUAUUAAAUUCUUUUUUUAUUUCACAUUGAUAAAUGAAUUUUAUGAUCCGUUAUUAUUGAUUAGAAGAUUAAGUUACCUUAGGGAUAACAGCGUAAUUUUUUUAAAGAGUUCAUAUCGAUAAAAAAGUUUGCGACCUCGAUGUUG
rnacentral:rRNA from 1 species